AGACGAAACAUGGUUUCGAACCAGUGACGUUUAGAUCCUCAGUCUAAAGCUUUCUCAGCAAAGCUAUUUCGCC